GUGCUCGCUUCGGCAGCACAUAUACUAAAAUUGUAACGAUACAGAGAUUAGCAUGGCCCGUGUGCAAGGAUGACAUGCAAGUUUGUGAAGCAUUUCAUAUUUUU